rnacentral:rRNA from 1 species
UACGGGGGGGGCAAGCGUUGUUCGGAAUUACUGGGCGUAAAGGGCUCGUAGGCGGCCAACUAAGUCGGAUGUGAAAUCCCCAGGCUCAACUUGGGAACUGCAUCCGAUACUGGUUGGCUUGAAUCCGGGAGAGGGAUGUGGAAUUCCAGGUGUAGCGGUGAAAUGCGUAGAUAUCUGGAGGAACACCGGUGGCGAAGGCGGCAUCCUGGACCGGUAUUGACGCUGAGGAGCGAAAGCCAGGGGAGCAAACGGG